GACUCCAAUCAGACAAGGAUACCGCUGAACUUAAGCAUAUCAUUCG
rnacentral:rRNA from 1 species